CCUACGGGGGGCAGCAGUGGGGAAUAUUGCUCAAUGGGCGAAAGCCUGAAGCAGCAACGCCGCGUGAGCGAUGAAGGCCUUCGGGUUGUAAAGCUCUGUUCUUAAGGAAGAUAAUGACGGUACUUGAGGAGUAAGCACCGGCUAACUACGUGCCAGCAGCCGCGGUAAUACGUAGGGGGCGAGCGUUAUUCGGAAUCACUGGGCGUAAAGGGUGCGUAGGGUGGUUGCUAAGUCAGGAGUGAAAAGCUGACGGUUAAACCGAGAACGGCAUUUGAUACGGGGACCCUGGAGUGCAGGAGAGGUAGGUGGAAUUCUUGGUGUAGCGGUGAAAUGCGUAGAUAUUAGGAGGAACACUGAUUGCGAAGGCGGCUCUCUAGAAUGUCACUGACACUGAGGCACGAAAGCGUGGGGAGCAAACAGGAUUAGAUACCCUGGUAGUC
rnacentral:rRNA from 1 species